rnacentral:rRNA from 1 species
CACAUGCAAGUCGAGGGGCAGCAUGGUCUUUUCUUGCUAAGGCCGAUGGCGACCGGCGCACGGGUGAGUAACACGUAUCCAACCUGCCGUCUACUCUUGGACAGCCUUCUGAAAGGAAGAUUAAUACAAGAUGGCAUCAUGAGUCCGCAUGUUCACAUGAUUAAAGGUAUUCCGGUAGACGAUGGGGAUGCGUUCCAUUAGAUAGUAGGCGGGGUAACGGCCCACCUAGUCUUCGAUGGAUAGGGGUUCUGAGAGGAAGGUCCCCCACAUUGGAACUGAGACACGGUCCAAACUCCUACGGGAGGCAGCAGUGAGGAAUAUUGGUCAAUGGGCGAGAGCCUGAACCAGCCAAGUAGCGUGAAGGAUGACUGCCCUAUGGGUUGUAAACUUCUUUUAUAAAGGAAUAAAGUCGGGUAUGGAUACCCGUUUGCAUGUACUUUAUGAAUAAGGAUCGGCUAACUCCGUGCCAGCAGCCGCGGUAAUACGGAGGAUCCGAGCGUUAUCCGGAUUUAUUGGGUUUAAAGGGAGCGUAGAUGGAUGUUUAAGUCAGUUGUGAAAGUUCGCGGCUCAACCGUAAAAUUGCAGUUGAUACUGGAUAUCUUGAGUGCAGUUGAGGCAGGCGGAAUUCGUGGUGUAGCGGUGAAAUGCUUAGAUAUCACGAAGAACUCCGAUUGCGAAGGCAGCCUGCUAAGCUGCAACUGACAUUGAGGCUCGAAAGUGUGGGUAUCAAACAGGAUUAGAUACCCUGGUAGUCCACACGGUAAACGAUGAAUACUCGCUGUUUGCGAUAUACAGCAAGCGGCCAAGCGAAAGCGUUAAGUAUUCCACCUGGGGAGUACGCCGGCAACGGUGAAACUCAAAGGAAUUGACGGGGGCCCGCACAAGCGGAGGAACAUGUGGUUUAAUUCGAUGAUACGCGAGGAACCUUACCCGGGCUUAAAUUGCAGAUGAAUUACGGUGAAAGCCGUAAGCCGCAAGGCAUCUGUGAAGGUGCUGCAUGGUUGUCGUCAGCUCGUGCCGUGAGGUGUCGGCUUAAGUGCCAUAACGAGCGCAACCCUUGUUGUCAGUUACUAACAGGUUCCGCUGAGGACUCUGACAAGACUGCCAUCGUAAGAUGUGAGGAAGGUGGGGAUGACGUCAAAUCAGCACGGCCCUUACGUCCGGGGCUACACACGUGUUACAAUGGGGGGUACAGAGGGCCGCUACCACGCGAGUGGAUGCCAAUCCCCAAAACCUCUCUCAGUUCGGACUGGAGUCUGCAACCCGACUCCACGAAGCUGGAUUCGCUAGUAAUCGCGCAUCAGCCACGGCGCGGUGAAUACGUUCCCGGGCCUUGUACACACCGCCCGUCAAGCCAUGGGAGCCGGGGGUACCUGAAGUGCGUAACCGCGAGGAGCGCCCUAGGGUAAAACUGGUGACUGGGGCUAAA